GGUUUCCCACUGCCCGCAGCCGGCAGAGCGCUCUCCCUGCGGCCCUCGCCUGCCCCUGAGGGCGGGGGGGACCCGGCAGGGCGGCCGCAGGCCGAGGGCACCCCAGCAAAGCCGCACAGGGCCCGGCCCCGGGGGGCUCCAGCGGCCCGCGCCGCUUCCCCGCCUGCCGGCGACACCCUCACGGCACCCUCCUCAGCACCCCCUCAGCCCGGGCUCCAGCUUCUCCAGCCUUUCUUUAAGAGGAGGGGAGAGAAGGCGCGGGGGACGCAGCGCAGGCUGGACGAGAAAUGCCAGUUCCUCUGUCCAUGGAACAGUGACCGCUGCGAGGGAGAGCCCGGGGCCUCCGGCAGCACAGUGAUUAGUGCAUAGACUAAUUAGUCCAUAAACAAUUUCCUUCAAGCCUGGCUGAGUUGCAGCGUGCUCUUUAGAAAAAAAUUUCUUCUGUAAUGUGGAAACAAUCACAGGAUGACACUAAGCUGUUCACAUGUUAAUUACUUCCACUGUCAAAAAAAGGAUAUAGAAGCAUAGGAUAGUUCAUAUUGAAAAACACCUCUAAAAUCGAGUCCAACUGUUAACUUAGCACCGCCAUCUUCACUAUGAAAUCGUGUCCCCAGUUACCAGAUCUAGAUAAUUUUUGAACACUUCCAGGAAUUCCACCACUUCCCAGGGCAGCCUGUUCCAAUGCCUUACCACCCUUUCAGUUAAGAAAUUUUUCCUAACAACCAAUCUAAACCUCCUUUGGUGCAACUUGAGACCGUUUCUUCUUGGCCCUGUCGCUUGUUCCUUGGGGCAAGAAACUGCCGCCACCUGGCUAUGAUCUCCUCUCAGGUAGUUGUAGAGAACAGUCAGAUAUCCCCUGAACUUCAUUUUCUCCAGGCUAAACAACCCCAGCUCCCUCAUCUGCUCCUCAUAUGACUUACUCUCCAGACUCUUCACCAGCUCUGUUACCCUUCUCUGGACAUGCUCUGGCACCUCAAUGUCUUUCUUGUACUGGAGGGCUCAGAACUGGACACAGGAUUCAAGGUGCAGUAGCCUGCUGGCAGCCUGUCAGCAGGGAGAGAGUGAAGGAGUCUGCAUUGCCCCAUCAGGUGUGUGGAUGAACUGGGGAAUGAUGCCUUGCCUGUACAAGUAUGCCACCAGCUGUGGUGAGGUCUGACUCUCUCACCCCAAGCCAUCAGCCUUGCAAAAAUCUUGUCCAUAAUUUUUCCCCAUUACUUCUUUGUCCUUUUAAUCAUUAUGCCGGUAACUUCUCUGAUUAGUCCAAAAAAUCAAGUAGCUUCUGUAGAACAGCUUUUUGAACAUAUCAUGAGAGUGCUGCAUUUUAAAAAACAGUGCUACUUAGCAUUUUCUAUAAUUUUUAAUGGCAAAAAAACAACUGAAAAGAAUGGAGGCAGUAGCAAAUUGAUAGUAAAAAGUGAUGGUUAAUUUAUAGUCAAAGACACCUGCAUUUGGAGAUUAUAAGCAAACAGCAUGCAUAUCAGCAGCCCAUUUAAUUCAGUUAUCCAAAUUGAUGUGCUACUUUUGUUGAUGUCCUAGUUACAAGGGCUGGAACCAGUUUGUUGCUAUGUGGGUAUAACCAAAACUGUGUAUUCUAUACCCUCUAUGUAAUUUCUGAUGGACUCUUAAUAAAGGGGUUGUUUGCAGCAGCUGCCCAGGGCACACCUGACACCUCAGGCUACAAGCUGAGUGUUAAAGAAACCCUUCGAGGUAGGGGAGUGUUCUUCUGUUUUCACACCAAUGACUCUGCUGUGAUAACUCUCCUCUGGAAAGGCACCUUCACACCCAGCCUGAGGGGUCAUCUCUGCUAAUGGGUCACAAUGGAUGGGCAUAAUAGGCAGCUGACACACCUAGACCAUCAAAGAUUCCAAAAAUAUCCCAUGACUCACAGAGUUAAAUCACCCUGUUGUGAAACUCCCCAUCCUGGGGGAGGUACUGAGCAUUCCCACCUUAACUUGAGCAUAUAUAAACUUCAGGUUUUGGGACUUCUGGUGCCACUUGUUGGACUGAGAGGAAGACCAGAACUUCAACAGGACUGCAACCAUUAUUUCAACAGGACUGCGAACAGCAUCCAGACCAACACUUCCCAGCAUUUCCACUGCGAGUCACGGGUCCUGUGCCAGAAAGCGAUCCAAGACUGAACUCCUAACGAGCUCAUCCAAGAACUAGCUGUUUUCUGAGCCUACAGUCCAGGGGCAGGAAACAAAGGACAUGGCCAGUUUUCAGAGUGGAAGACAAAUACUGUAUUUCCAGAUCUCUCAAGAAAGGGAGGUGAAUGUAUGUGCAAAACUUACCAAUGGUACAAAAUCAUUUGGGGUAAUAAAAAUUAAGGAUCAUAAAGAAUUGCAAAAGGAUCUCAAAAUAUUGGGUACUUUGAAAAGCGACCCAUAAAAUUCCUUAUCAACACAUGCAAAGUAACACGCAGGGAGAAAACCAGACAACAGUACACACACCAGCUGUGCUUGGGACAGAAGUGUUAAAACCUCCAUGGUCAGCUCAGGGACAGUAUCAGCUCUGCAAGACAGAGGCCAUGGCUGCAAAAGUUUGGCAGUUAGGAAGGCAAUGAAUGUGCCAUUGAGCAUGCUGUGCCUCUGUAUUUGUCACGUCACGUGCCAAUUUGGUCAACUCAGAACUAGAUGAGCCAUGGAGAAAUGUGUAUAAUGGGCUCUGCAAAGAGCAGUUAAAAAGGCAGAACAACUUGCAGAGCAGCAAAAGAAAAAAAGAAGAGAGAAAAAAGGAAAAACAAGCUUUCAAGGGAGAAUGUGCUUAUUAUAAUAAAUCACCUACUGCCAUCCAAAAAAAAGGCCUUUUAAUUAAAACCUGAAAUAUGUA